rnacentral:rRNA from 1 species
AGGACGAACGCUGGCGGUGUGCCUCAUACAUGCAAGUCGAACGAUAAGGUUCCUUCGGGAAUACAUAAGUGGCGGACGGGUGAGUACAACAUAGGAAAUCUGCCCUAAACUGGGGGACAACAGAGGGAAACUCCUGCUAAUACCCCAUACGAGCUUGGUUGAAAUACCAAUCUUGAAAGCUCCGGCGGUUUGGGAUGAGCCUGUGCCUGAUUAGCUGGUUGGUGGUGUAAUGGACUACCAAGGCGACGAUCAGUAGCUGGUUUGAGAGGAUGAUCAGCCACAAUGGGACUGAGACACGGCCCAUACUCCUACGGGAGGCAGCAGUAGGGAAUUUUGCGCAAUGGGGGAAACCCUGACGCAGCAACACCGCGUGAAUGUUAAGCCCUUCGGGGUGUAAAGUUCUGUCAGUAGGGAAGAAUUAAUGACUGUACCUACAAAGGAAGCACCGGCUAACUCCGUGCCAGCCGCCGC